CAGCCGCCGCGGUAAUACGAAGGGGGCUAGCGUUGUUCGGAUUUACUGGGCGUAAAGGGCGCGUAGGCGGGCGAUUAAGUCAGAGGUGAAAUCCCAGGGCUCAACCUUGGAACUGCCUUUGAUACUGGUUGUCUUGAGUCCGGGAGAGGUGAGUGGAACUGCGAGUGUAGAGGUGAAAUUCGUAGAUAUUCGCAAGAACACCAGUGGCGAAGGCGGCUCACUGGCCCGGAACUGACGCUGAGGCGCGAAAGCGUGGGGAGCAAACAGGAUUAGAUACCCCCGUAGUCCCUGUCUCUUAUAC
rnacentral:rRNA from 1 species